ACCCUAGCUGGUUCCCACGCACACACCCUCCUCCAUCUCCCCAACGCCGCCACUCUCCUUCCUGUCUCCCCACUCGAGCACGGCAGACCACAAUUCCGUCUCCCACUCGAGCUCGAGCAGUGCUGCCAGCUCCUCUCGUCUCCUAGCCAAGCUUGCCAUCCCGGCGGUCGGAUCUCCAGCCAUGGUCCGUCACCAGCCAGCAACCACCAUCGUCAUUCGUUCGGGAUCUAGCCGCCAUCGACAGUUUUGGCGUGGCCACCGCCGCAGCUCCGAGAUCCGACCGUCGGGAGUUCGGGCAUGGCCACCCCCAUGGCUCUGAGAUCUGGCCACCAUCUGCUUCAUGGGCGUUCGUGUAGGCGCUGCUCGAUGCGUCGGGCGCCGUCUUCUUCAUAGGCGUCGGUAAGUUGCGGCGGAGGUCGCGACGUGAUGGUGCAUUGCAGGUGGACAUUGACGCCGAGGUGGAGGUCGCGGUCGCAGGGCAGCCCAAGAAGAGGACGUUCCGCAAGGACAGCUACCGCGGUGUGGACCUCAACGUGCUCCUCGACAUGUCCACCAAUGACCUCUCCAGCUCUUAUCCGUCCGUGCCUGCAGAAGUUGCUAUAAGUACAUACCAAUUUAUCAGAUGUGAAAUUCAAAUGCAUGGUAUGGACUAUCUACAUCAUGUCAUCUAUAUCUCUAACUAUGUUUUGUCUACAUUAAUUUGUUCCCUCCUAAUUUUGUUUGAAGGUGCUUCUACUGCUGGUCUCUGCGUACAUUGUCAUGGUGACUGCUCUUCAAUUGAGAAGACGUAGUCAGUGACCAGGAUGGAUUGUGGGAUUCAAGCUUCUUGUAUGUGCGUGCAGCGUGUACAUGUUUAGCAAAUAGAGGCUUUGCUCGACUGUCUUUUUCUCUAUGGCUGUGGUUGUGUGUGUGGUGAGCUUGACAGUGGUUGCUGUGUAGCAGGAGCGCUGCAAUUAGUAAAGCUGACCAGGCUGAGAACUUGCUUGUUCUGUUUUGACAGUUCAUGAGUUUAAUUGGGAAUAUAUCAUGUAAUUGGCUUUGUAAAUUAUUAUUUGUGAUAAUUAUUUAAAUGGGCUCGGUUCA